rnacentral:misc_RNA from 1 species
GUCCAGGUGAAAGUGGUUCAAGAACCCAGCUAGUUUCAUUUGUACAAAUACAAGACGAUGACUUGAAGGUCAAAGUUGAACCAGUUCAAUGGUGGGAUGUAUGUAGAAGAUCAGAUUGGUCAGAAAGAGAGGAAUGCAUUUUUGGGAGUACAGGUGGAAAAGACGCUGUUGAAAUAAUUCAAAGAACAUCAGGAUCUGGGG